rnacentral:rRNA from 1 species
AUAUUGCGCAAUGGGCGAAAGCCUGACGCAGCAACGCCGCGUGAGUGAUGAAGGUCUUCGGAUCGUAAAGCUCUGUCGGCAGGGAAGAAAACUUGGAUGGCUAACAUCCAUUCAGGCUGACGGUACCUGCAAAGGAAGCACCGGCUAACUCUGUGCCAGCAGCCGCGGUAAUACAGAGGGUGCGAGCGUUGUUCGGAAUUAUUGGGCGUAAAGAGCGCGUAGGCGGUUUGCUAAGUCUGAUGUGAAAGCCCUCGGCUUAACCGAGGAAGUGCAUUGGAUACUGGCAGGCUUGAGUGUGAGAGAGGAUAGUGGAAUACCUGGUGUAGCGGUGAAAUGCGUAGAUAUCAGGUGGAACACCGGUGGCGAAGGCGGCUAUCUGGAUCAUAACUGACGCUGAGGCGCGAAAGCAUGGGGAGCAAACAGG